UACAGAGGGGGCGAGCGUUGUUCGGAAUUACUGGGCGUAAAGGGCGCGUAGGCGGCCAACUAAGUCAGACGUGAAAUCCCUCGGCUCAACCGGGGAACUGCGUCUGAUACUGGAUGGCUUGAAUUCGGGAGAGGGAUGCGGAAUUCCAGGUGUAGCGGUGAAAUGCGUAGAUAUCUGGAGGAACACCGGUGGCGAAGGCGGCAUCCUGGACCAACACUGACACUGAGGAGCGAAAGCCAGGGGAGCAAACGGG
rnacentral:rRNA from 1 species